CUCCAGACUCCUACGGGAGGCAGCAGUGGGGAAUAUUGCACAAUGGGCGAAAGCCUGAUGCAGCGACGCCGCGUGAAGGAUGAAGUAUUUCGGUAUGUAAACUUCUAUCAGCAGGGAAGAAAAUGACGGUACCUGACUAAGAAGCCCCGGCUAACUACGUGCCAGCAGCCGCGGUAAUACGUAGGGGGCAAGCGUUAUCCGGAUUUACUGGGUGUAAAGGGAGCGUAGACGGCCAGACAAGUCUGAAGUGAAAAUCCAGCGCUUAACGUUGGAAGUGCUUUGGAAACUGCCGGGCUGGAGUGCAGGAGGGGCAGGCGGAAUUCCUAGUGUAGCGGUGAAAUGCGUAGAUAUUAGGAGGAACACCAGUGGCGAAGGCGGCCUGCUGGACUGCAACUGACGUUGAGGCUCGAAGGCGUGGGGAGCAAACAGGAUUAGAUACCCCGGUAUU
rnacentral:rRNA from 1 species